rnacentral:rRNA from 1 species
CCCUUAGAUGUUCUGGGCCGCACGCGCGCUACACUGAUGCAUUCAACGAGUUUCUUCCUGGUCCGAGAGGAAUGGGUAACCUUUUGAAAGUGCAUCGUGAUAGGGAUAGACUAUUGCAAUUAUUGGUCUUCAACGAGGAAUUCCUAGUAGACGUAGUUCAUCAGACUGCAUCGAUUACGUCCCUGCCCUUUGUACACACCGCCCGUCGCUCCUACCGAUUGAAUGCUCAGGUGAGCCAUUCGGACUUUCAUCAUGCUGGUUUCCAGUUUUGAUGAAGGAAAGUCUUGCGAACCUUAUCAUUUAGAGGAAGGAGAAGUCGAAACA